rnacentral:misc_RNA from 1 species
GAUGAAGAACGUAGUGAAAUGCGAUAAGUAAUGUGAAUUGCAGAAUUCAGUGAAUCAUCGAAUCUUUGAACGCACAUUGCGCCCCCUGGUAUUCCGGGGGGCAUGCCUGUUCGAGCGUCAUUUCACCACUCAAGCCUCGCUUGGUAUUGGGCAACGCGGUCCGCCGCGUGCCUCAAAUCGACCGGCUGGGUCUUCUGUCCCCUAAGCGUUGUGGAAACUAUUCGCUAAAGGGUGCUCGGGAGGCUACGCCGUAAAACAAACCCAUUUCUAAGGUUGACCUCGGAUCAGGUAGGGAUACCCGCUGAACUUAAGCAUAUCAAAAGCGGAGGA